rnacentral:rRNA from 1 species
GGAUUCCCCUAGUAACUGCGAGUGAAGCGGGAAAAGCUCAAAUUUAAAAUCUGGCGUGCCUUUGGUCGUCCGAGUUGUAGUCUGGAGAAGUGUUUUCCGCGCUGGACCAUGUACAAGUCCCUUGGAACAGGGCGUCAUAGAGGGUGAGAAUCCCGUCUUUGACAUGGACUACCAGUGCUUUGUGAUGCGCUCUCAAAGAGUCGAGUUGUUUGGGAAUGCAGCUCAAAAUGGGUGGUAAAUUCCAUCUAAAGCUAAAUACAGGCGAGAGACCGAUAGCGAACAAGUACCGUGAGGGAAAGAUGAAAAGCACUUUGGAAAGAGAGUUAAACAGUACGUGAAAUUGCUGAAAGGGAAACGCUUGAAGUCAGUCGUGUCUGCCGGGACUCAGCCUUGCUUUUUGCUUGGUGCACUUUCCGGUUUGACAGGCCAGCAUCAAUUUUGACCGUUGGAAAAAGGUUGAGGGAAGGUGGCAUCUUCGGGUGUGUUAUAGCCCUCUAUCGCAUACAACGGUUGGGAUUGAGGACCGCAGCAUGCCAUUAUGGCCGGGGUUCGCCCACGUUACAUGCUUAGGAUGCUGGCGUAAUGGCUUUAAGCGACCCGUCUUGAAACACGGACCAAGGAGUCUAACAUGCCUGCAAGUGUUUGGGUGAAAAACCCGAGCGCGUAAUGAAAGUGAUAGUUGAGACCUUUGUCAUGGAGGGCAUCGACGCCCGGACUUGAUCUACGGAGACGGUUCCGCGGUAGAGCAUGUAUGUUGGGACCCGAAAGAUGGUGAACUAUGCCUGAAUAGGGUGAAGCCAGAGGAAACUCUGGUGGAGGCUCGUAGCGAUUCUGACGUGCAAAUCGAUCGUCAAAUUUGGGUAUAGGGGCGAAAGACUAAUCGAACCAUCUAGUAGCUGGUUCCUGC